rnacentral:rRNA from 1 species
CCUACGGGAGGCAGCGGUGAGGCAUAUUGGUCAAUGGGCGCGAGCCUGAACCAGCCAAGUCGUGUGAGGGAGGACGGCCCUACGGGUUGUAAACCUCUUUUGCCGGGGAACAACGGGCGUCACGUGUGGCGCCACUGCGAGUACCCGGAGAACAAGCAUCGGCUAACUCCGUGCCAGCAGCCGCGGUAAUACGUAGGUGGCGAGCAUUAUCCGGAAUGAUUGGGCGUAAAGGGUGCGUAGGCGGCCUGCUAAGUCUGGAGUGAAAGGUACCGGCUCAACCGGUAUAGGCUCUGGAAACUGGCGGGCUAGAGAGCAGGAGAGGGCGGUGGAACUCCAUGUGUAGCGGUAAAAUGCGUAGAUAUAUGGAAGAACACCAGUGGCGAAGGCGGCCGCAUGGCCUGUUACUGACGCUGAGGCACGAAAGCGUGGGGAGCAAAUAGGAUUAGAUACCCGAGUAGUC